GCCUGUUUAUCAAAAACAUGUCUUUUUGGAAAUAAUUUAAAGUCUAAUCUGCCCACUGAUGAAAUAUUGAAGGGCUGCAGUAUUUUGACUGUACAAAGGUAGCAUAAUCAUUAGUCUCUUAAUUAGUGACUUGUAUGAAAGAUUUGAUGAAAUAUAAUCUGUCUCAAAAAUAAUUAAUUGAAAUUAAUUUUUUAAUUAAAAAGUUAAAAUAAAUUAAAAAGACGAGAAGACCCUAUAGAGUUUAAUAUUAAGUGUAAAUUUAAGUUAUUUAUAAAAUUUAUUUAUUUAUAAAUUUUGUUUAAUAUUUUGUUGGGGUGAUAAAAAAAUAAAAUAAACUUUUUUUAAUAGUAAACAUAAAUAAGUGAUUUUAUGAUCCAAUUUUAUUGAUUAAAAGAAAAAAUUACCUUAGGGAUAACAGCGUAAUUUUUUCUUUUAGUUCUUAUAAGAGAAAAAGUUUGCGACCUCGAUGUUGGAUUAAGAUAAAAUUUAA
rnacentral:rRNA from 1 species